UUUUAGUGAAACCAGAUUAGAAGCUCCUGAAAAGCAGUGAUGAAUGAAUACAGCAGUGUAGCACAAGUGCCCAGCUGUUUGUAUGAACCAGCAUUCCCACUAUUUUUCCUUUCCUCAUUUGGUGUUUAGUAGAGAAAGCUAUUAAGGAGAAAGACAUACCCAUCGAAGGGCUGGAAUUCAUGGGUCCCAAUAAAGGAAAACCUGAAAACUCCUCCUGACCUUGUUCAGGCAUAUUGUGCCACUAUUAUGACCUUCAGGACUUGGAGAAAGAACCUCACAAAGACUAGAGAUUGACUUGAAUUAGCUGUUGUUUCUGUCUGACUUUUAAAGGAGUCUUUUCUGCAGUUUCUUUCAGCUAGGUUGUGUGGCAAUUACUGUUUCAUCUUAAAUGAAUGUUCUUCAUCUGGCAUCGUGUAGUGUGUGAAAAGCCUUUUUAUCACUCUAUGAUCAUAAGUGAAUGUAUUCCAAACUAGGAGAGUACUUAUUGAAGUGGGUUUAGAUAUUAGCUGACCUAUAAUCAAUUUCUAGUCCUUUUUUUUUAAUUUGUUAGACUUUAAUUGCUGAAAUUAAUGUGAAAGGGGUAAAUUAACUUAUUGUAGUGUGCUGCUGGAUUUUAUUGAUUUCAGUGUUCCUAAAAACUGAUGUACUAUAUGAAACAAAGCUGUAGCGCAACUAGUGGUGCUAUAAAAGUACCACUUCUGGAGUUUAAAUGAUUUUUGUUUGGGUUCCCAAGAUACUAUUUUAAUAUAGAAUACAUAUAAAAGAGA